ACUAAGCCAUGCGAGUCACGCAGCAAUGCGUGGCAUACGGCUCAGUAACACGUAGUCAACAUGCCCAGGGGACGUGGAUAACCUCGGGAAACUGAGGAUAAACCGCGAUAGGCCAAGGUUUCUGGAAUGAACCAUGGCUGAAACCUACAUGGCCCCUGGAUUGGACUGCGGCCGAUCAGGCUGUUGGUGAGGUAAUGGCCCACCAAACCUGUAACCGGUACGGGCUCUGAGAGGAGGAGCCCGGAGAUGGGCACUGAGACAAGGGCCCAGGCCCUAUGGGGCGCAGCAGGCGCGAAACCUCUGCAAUAGGCGAAAGCUUGACAGGGUUACUCUGAGUGAUGUCCGUUAAGGGCAUCUUUUGGCACUUCUAAAAAUAGUGCAGAAUAAGGGGUGGGCAAGUCUGGUGUCAGCCGCCGCGGUAAUACCAGCACCCCGAGUGGUCGGGACGAUUAUUGGGCCUAAAGCAUCCGUAGCCGGUUCUGCAAGUCUUCCGUUAAAUCCACCUGCUCAACAGAUGGGCUGCGGAGGAUACUACAGGGCUAGGAGGCGGGAGAGGCAAGCGGUACUCAGUGGGUAGGGGUAAAAUCCUCUGAUCCACUGAAGACCACCAGUGGCGAAGGCGGCUUGCCAGAACGCGCUCGACGGUGAGGGAUGAAAGCUGGGGGAGCAAACCGGAUUAGAUACCCGGGUAGUCCCAGCUGUAAACGAUGCAGACUCGGUGAUGGGUUGGCUUCGAGCCAACCCAGUGCCGCAGGGAAGCCGUUAAGUCUGCCGCCUGGGGAGUACGGUCGCAAGACUGAAACUUAAAGGAAUUGGCGGGGGAGCACCACAAGGGGUGAAGCCUGCGGUUCAAUUGGAGUCAAC
rnacentral:rRNA from 1 species